GCCCGGUUAGCUCAAUCGGUAGAGCGUGAGACUCUUAUGAGUACACACAUCUCAAGGUUGCGGGUUCGACCCCCGCAUCGGGCU
rfam:Nectria haematococca mpVI 77-13-4 chromosome 5 genomic scaffold NECHAsca_5_chr5_3_0, whole genome shotgun sequence.